UGGGGAAUUUGGACAAUGGGCGCAAGCCUGAUCCAGCAAUGCCGCGUGCAGGAUGAAGGCCUUCGAGUUGUAAACUGCUUUUGUACGGAGCGAAAAGGUCUGCCCUAAUACGGUGGGCUCAUGACGGUACCGUAAGAAUAAGCACCGGCUAACUACGUGCCAGCAGCCGCGGUAAUACGUAGGGUGCGAGCGUUAAUCGGAAUUACUGGGCGUAAAGCGUGCGCAGGCGGUUAUAUAAGACAGAUGUGAAAUCCCCGGGCUCAACCUGGGAACUGCCUUUGUGACUGCAUAGCUAGAGUACGGUAGAGGGGGAUGGAAUUCCGCGUGUAGCAGUGAAAUGCGUAGAUAUGCGGAGGAACACCGAUGGCGAAGGCAAUCCCCUGGACCUGUACUGACGCUCAUGCACGAAAGCGUGGGGAGCAAACA
rnacentral:rRNA from 1 species